AAUACGGUUCCGGCGGCGGCUGCGUCCGUGCCGUGGCGGCGCGGGAGUGGCGGCGCCCGUUGGGGCGGGCUGCAAAUGCCGGCGGGGGCGGGGGCACCCGCCACGCGGGGCAGCCGCUCGGGCAGCCGUUGGGACCGUUGGGACCGUUGGGCCUGGCGCCGUGGGGAGGCGCGGCGCGGCUGGGCUGGGCUGGGCUGGGCUGGGCUGCUCUCCCCUCCCCUGCGCUCCCUUCCCCUGGCCAAGGGGGAAGCUCGCCAAGCUGCCACCGGAUUUGUUCGUGUUUCUUGUGUCGGUGGGGAGUCAGGAAUUCCUCUGAAAAACGCGAGGGUCACGUCCCGGUGUUCAUGGGCUCCUUGACCUUCAAGCUGCACCUGGCCCUGAAGCUCCUCCUUCCUCAUACGAUCCUUUGGCAACGCGACACCUCUUCACCUUUCAGCUCUCCCUGCCAGCCAGAAGUGCCAUGGCGUUUUCCAGAGAAAAGGCUAUGCAACUGGCCACACACGUUGCACAAGCUUUUAGAUCACGCCUAGACUGACUGAUGGAUCACGUGCUGCAUGGCUGAGUCACUGACACUGCCGAUGCCGUUGCAGAGUGAGUCAUGAGGACUGUCAGCAAGAGGAGAGAUGGGGAGAGAGUGAUCCUGCUCCUGAGAGAUUCUAGCUGAACCUUAUCAAAACCAGGAGAAUUAAUCAAUAGCUACAUCAUAGGUAUCAUUUCCUGAGGUGGAGAAGUGCAGAUUUAGAAUCAUUUCCCAUAUUAUUGUCGUCUUUCUGACCACUGCAAAGAAAACUGAAUUGUUCUUGUUUUAGCAUUUUUAUGGUAUGUAGACAUGGCAAGAAAUUACUCUGGACCAACAGUUUAAAGUUUAGAAUAAUGCAGCCAGUUUUGCUGGAAGCAGAAUGGGGAGCAACUUUGCCGAUAGCUCAAAGAGGUAGUAGGCUGAAAAAAGAAGCUGUAACAACCUGAAGGGCAGAAAACACCGGAGAGCUCACGUCAGCACCUGAGACUAUUCCAAGGAAAGUGGUGGAGGACCCAGCUCUACCAUUCAGCUGGACAACAUGCCAGGCGCAGAGUGCCCGCUGCUGCCCGCACGCCCCUUGUGAGCGAUCACAGAGCCUGAGCACUGUUCCAACGGAAAUGUGCAGAGAUGGCACAACAGGUCACAGCAUUCCUUAUGUUUCUGAAAAAGGACUCUGCAUAGACGUUUUCUUCCCAGUAUUUCCUCCUUGAUCUGGUUAAGAUUGUGACAGAUAGGGUCUGAAGGUUAUGAGCACUCAGCAUAUUAUCUCUAUCUAAAUGGCUCUGAGUCAGGCUCUGGGUUUGGCACGAUGGAGUGAUGGUGCCAACUUGUCUCCCAGAAUGGGUGAAUUCAGCUGCUGUGUGCUGAGGUGAUUGGAACAGUAGUAGUUUGGAAGCAAGGAGGAAAGGUGAAAAUCCAACAAGCAUCCUAAUGAGAGAGAGAGUACUGCCUGAACCAGCUCCAAAGGGAGGGUAGCCACAGGCCCUGCUCUUGGAGCACAGAUGUGGAAGGAGGCUGGCAAAGAAGAAGCUGGCACAGUCAUUCUGAGACAGCUACAGGAGGUCUGCAGUAAAGCAGUGCAUAUAUGCAAUACCCAGAGGUCUGCUGGAGUAAGAGUACCUUUUGAAAAGUUUUGAACAAAUUUAUACCAGCAGAUCCAUUUUAGGUCAAAGGAGGAAUUUGUAUUCUGUGGCAGUUGCAUUUUUAUUCCAACUCUGCAGGUGCUAAAGAAGGAUUUACAGUCUUAUGAAACCUGUAUCUGGGGCAUAAAUCUUAACUAAUAGAGUUGCAUCAUUGUAAUUCCCCAACUUGUAGAGGUGUUCUUUUGUAUUAGAAGAAGAUCCUUCCACAGUGUAAUUUAUAUCACUUGGGAAGGAAUUCAAAUAAGACAACAAAAUCAUGUAUAUGACCAUAUUGAUGUAACUGGUAAACUACUCCUAGGUUUGUACAGCCUUACUGAUAUUUUUUACCAACUUCAACUAAUUUGUUUAAAGACACUAUCAGUAUGGUAUAUGAACAUCUUUCCAAGGAACUGGCAUUAAUGUAAUUAAAGCACAUCUAAAUUAAUUUAGCUAUAUGGGUGCAAUGUUUGUAUAUAAACAAGCUUUAACAGAGUCAAGAAUUCUUAAAGAGUAUGCUUCUCACAGUUUUCUUAAGUAUGGUUUUGCUGGGAUACAAUUAAAAAUGCUUGGAGUACUUUGUAAACUAAGCAAUAUGCGUUAGAAAUUAAACUUCUGGCAUUUAUGUGAUUGUGAUUCUAUCCAAAUUAUAAUUUAAACCAAAUAAACAUUUGCCCUUUGUAAAGAAUGGGUUUGGGUAUUCUGAUGAGCUUAUACCUCCUAUUUUUGUUAGUUAUGGUAAAGAGUUUUAGGAUAUAACUGGUGAGUAAGCAGGAAGAAAAGUUAGGAUGGAAUAUACUGAUAAAAAUUAAUAGAAAAAUGUCACCAACAAGUGAGGUAAAUAUAAAUGAGCACAUAUUUGUAGCUGGAUAGCUCUGGUUAUAUGAAUGAAGGAUUAGAAAUAUCUUGGAGCCAGACCCAUAGGUGAAUGAAAGCUUUUAUUCAUAAAAAUCAGUGCUCAAGGGCAAGAGCUGAAAAAGGAAUUAAACAGCAAGUGAGGGCAAACCUUUCAAAUAUUAAAAUCAGUUGAGUCUGAGCUCAGGAAUCAUAAAAGUUCAGAUUUGCUUCUCUCCCAGUAGUUUAUUUAUAGAAGGUAUGUUUGUUAAUUUUAUAUACAUUUUAAGUAUAACUCAGGCAAUUUCUGGUUUUAGUUGCAUGUACAUAUUUUCAUUACUGCUUCAUUAACUAGAAACACAGUAAAAUAGAUAGUUAUGAUGUUUCUAUCCCAAAAGGUAAAAAUAAAGGCCAGAUUCUCAGCUCUGAUAGAGCUCUUUAGUUCCUCUUUGAUAUUUCAUAGAUCACCUUAAAUAGCCACCUACAUUUUUUCUACUGCAUCCUCCAAUGGUGAAACAAGAAAACAAGGAAAGAAACUUUUCUGGUUAGCCUGCUCAUACCUUAUAUUCUAAUGGAAGAAGGCAAGAAUUAAGGGCUAUUUUGUCCUGCUGCAAAUCGUAGAGAGAAACCUACUCUGUGAUAAACUUACACCAUCCCAACUAAGCCUCAUGGAAGCCCGUCAGGUCCCAUAAAUGCAGGGCAACCUUCAGAGGUCUUACUUCAGACCCAUUCCUUUUUUAAAUUCAGGAAGCACUCCCUCUAAGAAGACAAAGUUCUGAUUAAAAAUACCAAGAAAAGAAGGGAGUUCUCAUCACAGUGUAAGGAAUCUGAAGUGUUCUAACAGAAAUAAAAAACUUACUAUUUGUAACAGGAAGAGGGCUGAACAACUCCACCUCACCCUGCCAAUUGCUUCAUCCCAACUUCUAGUCCAGCCUUUGGCAUCUGAGUUCUGGGAACAGACUCAGGCAGAAAAUAUGUCAAAAAGUUCAGCCAAUUUCAGCUCUUUAAGAUUCAUAGCAGGCACUUCUGAAGCACAGCACAGCCCAUGCCUAACAGACCAGGGUGCUGCAAGGGGAGGCCAACAUGAACAACGGUCCAAAUCACGGACAGAUAACUGGGAUACGGCACAAGAAGAGAGUGCAUAUGCAGAGCUGCGAGAAGGAGGGUACUUGCUUGACUGAAAAACAGCUGUGCAAGACUUCAGCCAGGCAACACUUGUCUGCAGUUGAGGUGUUCCUCGAGGUUUUCAGAAGCUUUAGAAGAUCUGAAGAGAGAGGUCAGAGUUUCUACUUUGACUGAAGAUUUCUUCUAUAUCAGAGGAAGAAGAGAUGAAAAAUCUGGGACCUUCAGAGGUGGAAACCAGACAGAAGAAGAGUUGGAAAAAAAUGACAAAAUGGUAGACAUGUGGUUCGUGAAGAAAAUGAUUAGGAUAAAAAUUCUAACAGGGAAAAGAAAGAUGGAGAAGUGUGUUCCGGUGCAGUGGGAGUGUGAAACAGAUUGGAGAAGAGGGAAGGCAGAAAUAUAAAUGAGAAUCCACUUCACGUUCUCAAACGAGGAACUCUGCUCAGGAAAGGCCAGGAGUACAAGAGAGAGUCCUGGCAAGCCAGAAUCAAGGUAUAUUAGGAGAGCCUGAGGUACUUUCAUGAAAUCCUAUUUAUUUAAAAAAUAUGUAUCUAAAGUGUUGUUUCACUUAGUUUAGCUAGAAUCAAAUAGAAAGGGAUAAUAUAUUUCUUUUACAACUUGUAAACAACUUUCGAGUUUAUCUUUUACUCACAAGCUCUCUAUAGCUUCGGUUUUCUCCCAGUCAAUUAGCUCUAAGUGCCUCCCUGCCUGUAUCCGCAUAUUUUUUUGAUGCACUUAUUAUGCUUUAAUAGCAAUUUUUCUCUCAGACAGAGAAUUCACCAAGCAAUAGUCAGUCUCCUUUAUUUCAGUUCAGACCCAAAGAAAUGCAUUUGGCCAUGCAGCUCAGAUUCUUCAUCAGCUUUGCAUGGGACCUUUGUUUUCAACUGUAUAUUCCAUACAGGAACAAAACUGAAUUUCCAGUUUUCCUGAAUGAAAGGCUUCUCUUCUAUCUACCUGCUUCGAUAUCACUUUACCUGUUCUCCAGUAAUACUCAUCUAUCUGGUAACUGUACAUUCCAUUCAGUUUACUUUUCUAAAACAAAAGUAUAUAUAUCAAAUCAGGAAGGGAGUAGAAAGAACAUACCUAAUUGCCUGGCCUAAAUUUUAAUCUGAAAAAUUCAGAUUAAAAUGGAUUUUAAGCAUAUCUGUCUUGGCAUUGGACUGUCAUCUUUAACUUGUUAUUUGUGAAGAUUAAACAGGAAACUUUUAAGGAUGUGAACUUAGAUUUUUAUUUAAAAAUGACACUAUACUCAUUAUAUUGACUUAGUUGUAUAUAUAACUAUCUCCUAAAGUUUAGAAAAGAUAGAAAGAAAGGCAGAUCUGAAAAGCUGGAGAAGGGAAAAAAAAGCAUAUCAUAUUAUGCCAAAAAUAUAUAUAUUUUUUCUUUUUUGAAUAAAUAGAUAAUGAAUCCAAAAUAGAUGAAUUCAUGAAAAUAAGGUAGUGGUCAUCAGUAGCAGCUGAUCAUAGUUAUUAAUUUCUCAUGCUUAGAUGAAUGUUACCACAGCCAUUUGAGAUCAUUUAAGUUGCAUAACAGUUGUAACAGAUUUCUUCAACUUUGUUUUUUCAGUUUCAUCCCUUUUGCCUCUACCUUAUUUCUUAUACUUUCUCUUGAUACAUCAUUUCUUCUCCACCUCUAUUUUCUUUUUUCCAUCUUUUUCUCUUUUUGCUGCCUCCAUAGUCAUCUUUUUCUCCUCUCCCCUCUCGUAUACAUCCUCAUGCUACUGAUUAUGUCAGUGCUCCUCACCAUUAUGGAAAACUCUGUAUAGUCUAAAUAACUACUGACAAUUUAAGAUUCUGAGAGGAAACAAAGUUUCCCAAAGCACUGAUCUGGUUUGUAGAAAAAAAGUGUUCCCUAGCAGUAGCGUUGCCAAUUGAUGGCGAGGCGUGUGGGCAGCGGGAGAAUAUCAGAGACUUCUGGGGCACAGUCAUGGUGCUCCUGAGGCCCCACGGUGCCAGCGUGCAGGGUGCUUUACGGGCAGCUGUAUCUGCUGGCGGGGGCCCUGCCAGAAGGUUUCCCAAGCAGCUGUGUGCACUGAGGGAACUGCUUACAACUGUACAGACCAGAACUGUUCAACAAACUGAAUGUUACAUUACUAAAUUACUAAAAUUAUUAAUGUAUGUAUGCAGUUCUUUGCAAAUGAAAAGCUUCUCCUAAGUGCUGAGAGAAUUUUUAAUAUAAUAAAAUUCUAGUCCUGAUCUAUUGUAUCACUGUCAUUUAAUAAAUUUCAAUGGAAGCAGUAUACGAUUACAAAGACUAAAAUUACUCCAAACUGGACUAACUUGACCUCUCUGUCUUAUUAAAUAGACAGAAAUAUUAUAUUUUGUUAAAUUUACAUAUAGCUUAUUUAAGCCUCAGUUCACCACAUAUUAUUAAUAAUGCCACUAUAGUAACAGCUGAACUGUAAUUUUUCACUCUUACGAAGAUUCAGAAUUUUUGCAUGUUCUCCAGUUUGAACAUUAUCACAAUUAUUCCUGAACAAUUUCGGUUUAUUGCUAUGUCUAAUCAUAAAAAUUACAACAGAAAGCCUGUAUUUUAAAAUCAGAUUUCACUUGAACACUA